GCAAGUCGAGCGGGAAGUCAUUAGCUUGCUAAUGACGGAUAGCGGCGAACGGGUGAGUAACAUGUUGGUAUCUGCCUCUAAGUCAGGGAUAGCCCACUGAAAAGUGGAUUAAUACCGGAUAGUCUCUUCGGAGUAAAGAUUUAUCGCUUAGAGAGGAACCUGCAUUCUAUCAGCUUGUUGGUAGGGUAAAAGCUUACCAAGGCUAUGACGGAUAACUGGUCUGAGAGGAUGACC
rnacentral:rRNA from 1 species